CGUGUAGGCGGUCAGGUAAGUGGAAUGUGAAAUGCCCCGGCUCACCCGGGGACCGGCAUCCCAAACUGCCUGGCUUGAGUAUGGGAGAGGAUGGAGGAAUUCCUGGUGUAGCGGUGAAAUGCGUAGAUAUCAGGAGGAACACCGGUGGCGAGGGCGUCCAUCCGGCCCAAUACUGACGCUGAGGCGCGAAAGCUAGGGGAGCAAACG
rnacentral:rRNA from 1 species